rnacentral:sRNA from 1 species
CCAUGGUUGGGACCACGGUUGACCAUGGUUGGAACCACGGUUGACCAUGGUUCCUACCAUGGUUGACCAUGGUUCUAACAAUGGUCAACCAUGGUCAUUAAAACCAUGGU